rnacentral:rRNA from 1 species
GACGAACGCUGGCGGCGUGCUUAACACAUGCAAGUCGAGCGGUAAGGCCCUUUCGGGGGUACACGAGCGGCGAACGGGUGAGUAACACGUGGGUGACCUGCCUUUAGCUCUGGGAUAAAGCCUGGGAAACUGGGUCUAAUACCGGAUAUGACCCUAUGGCGCAUGUUGCGGGGUGGAAAGCCUUGUGCGGCUAGGGAUGGGCCCGCGGCCUAUCAGCUUGUUGGUGGGGUGAUGGCCACCAAGGCGACGACGGGUAGCCGGCCUGAGAGGGCGACCGGCCACACUGGGACUGAGACACGGCCCAGACUCCUACGGGAGGCAGCAGUGGGGAAUCUUGCGCAAUGGGCGAAAGCCUGACGCAGCGACGCCGCGUGAGGGAU